rnacentral:lncRNA from 7 species
ACAAUGCUCUGCAUUUCAGCUUCUAGAAAUUUCUGACAGCUUCUAGAUGGCCAUCUUCCCUGGUACGCGCUUUCCCUCUGUGUAGCCCUUGAAACCUAUUAGAGGCUCUUCCAAUACAGGCAGCAUAGAAGCAAAAAGUGUUUUUGAAGGCAGAAAAUGAUUCAAACCACGUACAGAUCUGUUCCAUUCAAAGUACAGUUCUGUGCUGCGGUGUACUCUACAGUAUCCAUGCAUAUCAAGAAAUGGUGACAAGAUACAGAGGGACAGCAAGACUAUUAAAUAUCCAUCAUGCCACUCUGGAUCAGGCUUAAUGCAAUCAGAAACACAUGACUACAUCAACUUAUCUCCUUUGAUCAAAUGUGAUUAAAGGUCAUGAUUCUGCAGCCCUUACAAGGAACUGAAUGCUACUUCAAGCUGUGAUCAGUUCUUAUCUCAUAUAUGAACUGAAGUAUGAACUGGUGUGCAGUAUUCAAAUGGAUGAUACGCAAUCUCAGCCUUAGCCUAAGGUUCUUUAUGGCAUUAAUUCCAUGCUGACUUAAGGUAGCGGUUGGCAGAUGAAAGCAGUACGCUUUAGAGGAAGAAAUGAGACUCCAGCCUUGGUUCAAUCAGCAUUUCACGUGCCAUGUUGCACCUAUUUCCUGUUCCAUGAAACCACCUACGUCACCGAGCAGGUCCAUCAGCUGGGGAACCAGUUUCUACACGGUACUUAUGCGGCCAUUAUUAUGUUCAGACAAUAUGUUUUGUGUCUGGAGCAUGAACAUCUUAGAAGAGCAACCUUGGACUUUUCCUGAUAUUUAUUCUCUCGCAAAAGUUAUUUAAAACACAAGGUAAAUUUUCAGUGUUUCCUGUGUUGCCUCAGUAUUUCGAGGAUGCUUAUUUACACAUCAUACAAAUAGGAAAAUGAGACACAUUUAAAAUCUCUUCAGAUAUUUAACCUAUAGUAUUUGUAACCGUGUUCUGCAAUAAAAUUCUGGAAUAUUCAGCAAAACUUGAUUUUUGUGUUUUAACAGAAGCACAACAUACACUGGAAAUGUCUGUAUUAUCUAUUUUGCAUCAUAUCAAUAACUGUGCUAGUAAGAUAUUUUACAACAGCAAAAAUGUUACUGCUUUUAUUUGCCAAAUUUUCAUGCUUUCUGUCUCUCAAAGUGAGGCAAAAUUGUUAGUGUAAAUUUUCUCAUUUGUAUCAUAAAACUAGAAAACCCUCAGAACAAUCAAUUGUAGCACAGUCUGAUGAAAGGAAAAUACUGCUGGUGACUCCAGGGCUCAUAGGAACAACAAUUUUUAUUUAAGUGCCUCC